rnacentral:misc_RNA from 1 species
GAAUGGUCACACUGCCGGCCAGCUGAUUGCCCGCGUGCAGAUUUUUUGGACUUUAUUUUCCUUAUUUGGCUGUUGUUGUUUUGGGCCGCCGGUACCGCUUAGCUUUCUGUCUCCCUCUCUUUCUGUCUUUCUCUCUCGCUCCCACCAACGGCACCGCCAUGGGCAAGAACACGAAGCGCAACAAGAAGACGAAACAGCAGCUGCAGCAGCAGCCGCCACAACAAAACGGAGUAACUGCAUCCGCAUCCGGAGCAGCCAGCGAAGAUUUACAGGACCAGCAGGCGGCCAGUUCGUUGCCCAGCCUGAACGCCAAAAAGAGGAGCCAACUGAACAAACUAAUUGAGGAAUUACUUGAUUUAGUUGAAAAGCAGCCGGCGAAUCCCAACGAGGAAUGGAAGCAGUACGAGCAGCUCCAGCAGCUACUCAACCAAAUUAUGAUUCUGGAAGAGCCACUCAGCCAGGCUGUGUGUCCGCAGAUCACCGAUUCCCCCGACGAUCAGUCCCGUCUGGCCAAAGUGGAGGCCUUCAGUGCGUGGGCCAAAGAUGGCGGAGUACACAGCGAGGGACUGGAGAUAGCUAUCUUUCCGGGCUACCAGCUGGGUCUGCGGGCCACUCGGCCGCUGGCCAAGGAAGAACUGGUGCUGACCGUGCCCCGCAAACUCAUCUUCUCCGAGGAAAACAACUCCGAUUGCCGUCUAUUUGGCAAAAUGCCGCAGGCCACCCACUGGGUCUACGAUCUGGUCAUCGAGAAGAUCCGUGGCGAGUUCAGCGAAUGGCGACCGUACAUUGAUAUUCUGCCCGCGAAAUACAGCACCGUGCUCUACUUCACCAUCAAGCAGAUGGAGCGACUCCGGGGCACCGCCGCCUGCUCCCUGGCUCUGCGUCAGUGCCGCGUCAUCGCCAAGCAGUACGCCUUCCUCUACAGGUACGCCCACACCCUGACCGAGCCGAGCGACGGGAAUAGGAGCCAUCCGGGCGAAAGAGGCCUCUUCUUCACGCAGCACGGACUCUGCUACAAGCUCUACAGAUGGGCCGUUUCCACGGUGAUGACCCGACAGAAUUUGGUGCCCAGCGAAAAACAAGAAUCACAGGACAGCCCUAAAUUCAUAUCGGCUUUGAUUCCGUACUGGGAUAUGGCGAACCAUAAGCCGGGCAAGAUUACCUCCUUCUAUGCCGCCGUGUCCAGGCAACUGGAGUGUACCGCUCAGGAAGCUGUUGAGGCUGGAGAGCAGUUCUUCAUCUACUACGGCGAUCGGUCGAAUACCGAUCUUCUGGUGCACAAUGGUUUCGUAGACGUUAACAACCUCAAGGACUAUGUUAAUAUUCGUGUGGGCCUGAGUCCCACGGACGCCCUGGCUGCGAAGAGGGCAAGCAUUCUGGACAAGCUGAACAUCCGGCACAACGCGGAGCUGCGUGUACUGCCCGCACCGGAGUUCAUCUCCAAGGAGCUGCUGGCAUUCGUCCGGGUGUUCAAGAUGAGCGCCGAGCAGCUGGAUCACUGGUGCAGCGACUUGGAGCGGGCCGGCGACCUGCUGCACAUCGACUGCGCCCUGGAGACGGAUCAUGAGACACGAACCUGGCAGUUCCUGGAGGACAGGUUGAAGCUGCUACUGGCCGUCUUUGAUAAGGAGAUGCGGGAGGCCGACGAGUUGAAGGAGCUCUCUGAGCUGGAACUCAAGGAUGGGGCCAAGUCUGGCCAGGAGAUCGAGCUCAUGCUGCUCCUGUAUCGCCGUUUGGAGAGGAGCAUUCUCGCCGGAGCUCUACAAUACGCCCAGGAGCAUCGCAAGGUCUAGGGAUUUGAGCAAGGCACCCACAAAAUUCGAGUGGCCAUCGAAAGCGACAUCAAUAACUCAGUCUAGCAUUAGCAAUUUUAGUCGACAGUUUUUGAAGUUGGAUACCAAAACAAUUUUUAAUUCUACAACGAUCGAUUUGUUGUA